CGCUACGGACUUAAAAUCCGUUGGCUUUUUCAGACCGUGAGGGUUCAAGUCCCUCUAUCCCCACA
rnacentral:tRNA from 1 species